rnacentral:rRNA from 1 species
CGCAUCUGUGCAUGCAGCAUAUCAAUAAGCGGAGGAAAAGAAACUAACAAGGAUUCCCUUAGUAACGGCGAGUGAAGCGGGAAGAGCUCAAAUUUGAAAUCUUCAAGGUUUUACCUUGACGAAUUGUAGUUUAAAGAAGUGUUUUCUGUUGAAGUUUUGGUAAAAGUUCUUUGGAAUAGGACAUCAUAGAGGGUGAGAAUCCCGUAUUUGACCAUUAUUUUCAGCUGUGUGAUACACUUUCAAAGAGUCGGAUUGUUUGGGAAUGCAGUCCAAAAUGGGUGGUAAAUUUCAUCUAAAGCUAAAUAUUGGCGAGAGACCGAUAGCGAACAAGUACCGUGAGGGAAAGAUGAAAAAGAACUUUGAAAAGAGAGUUAAACAGUACGUGAAAUUGUCAAAAGGGAAGCGUUUGACACCAGUGUUGUUUUCUCGAAAAUCAAUUAAAAAGAGUAUUGAUUUUGUUGUGUAUUGACCUUAACAGCUUGCAAUUUUCUUGCUUUUUUUAAUGCACUUUUCGUUUAACAAGUCAACAUCAGUUUCUUUUGUUGUAAAAAGGUCAUUGGAAGGUGGCUUUCUUUUCGGAGAAAGUGUUUAUAGCCUUUGACUCCUGCAAUCGGAGAGACUGAGGUCUGCAGCGUAGAUCCUUCGGGGUUAGAUACAUUUGUGCUAAGUUAUAGCUUUUUAUAGACAACUUGUUGACUAUGAUUAGUCUUGUAGCUUACUCGCUUAUGCUAUUUUACCUACGCUUAGGAUGUUGAUGUGAUACUGCGAGCA